AUCACAAACAGCGUGGGCUCAAGUGUGAGGCCUCCUAGAACGAAGCCAUCUGUUCUGAUUAUGAGGACCCUAAAGGAGCCGCCUGUGUUGACUGAAGCACUGCCCUAAUGGAAUUACAGAGAGUGUAAUCCAGUCAGGCAGCCGCAGGGUCAUCCGCACCUCUCCUCUCUCAGGACCCCUAUUUACCGCCACCUGUCAGCAGAAAGAGAGAGACCAGCAGAAUAAAGCAACGCUACAAACACUGCGCCGUGUUACAAAAAUAUAUUUAAUCAGUUCUGCAAGGCAAGCUUUGUGAUAUUAUGAGUCGCACUGAAGUUCAGCGGCUGUUUGAUAGAGACAAUGAAGUCAAACCAAGUCCACCUGGAAUCGUCAUUGCCGUUUCCAGCUAAUGAAAAGCAGAAAUCGAUAGCUGGGAUUUAUGGGGAGGAAAUCAAAUGCCUCUUUGUUGGGCUGACGGAGGGAAUGUCUGUCUGAGAGCAGGACUGUAAUGGAGCCGUUCGGAGAGGACACUGACACACCGCUGGGCCCGGAAAUGCCUCACUCGAGUCCUGUCCGUCCCCACGAGAGAUACAGACAUCACCAUUACUGACUCUAGAGAGUUAUAAAACAGAAAGAAAGAAAGAAAGAAAGAAAGAAAGAACCAUGAUAACCAAUACUGAAUGAUGAUACUGAUACUUCAAUACUUAAUCAAAUGUACCCGUUUCUAUGUGCACUGUAACAAUUAUGUACCAUUUCUUCACAAUCAGAGCAGCAUCUUUAUAUACUGUAACUUAUUUGCACUAACUGGUCUACCAUCUGCAUCUUAAAUGCACUUUGUAUAUACAAAUGUAUAUAUAUAUAUAUAUAUAUAUAUAUAUAUAUAUUUAUACUUAUAUUGGUAUUUGCACUUCAGGUUUGGUGCUUCUGUAUUUCAUUGGUUUUGUACUGUACUCUGCACAUAUGAUAAUAAAGUUAAAUUUAAUCUAA